AUUAUUUUCUGGAUUUGUUUUGAUUAGAAAAUGUCAGAAAUUGCUGUAAAAGUGACGAGUUAUUUAUUUAUUUUUAUUUUUUUACCUAAAUACGCUCAGUUCCUGUCACAGAAAAGGAAAGAAACGAGCAAAUAUUCACCUACAAGAAGCUGAAAUCAGAGAAUUUUUGUCGAAUCGAACGCAGGCACGUUUUUUUAAGAGUCCAUUUGCAUGUGUCUAAUUCCUGGGAGUCACAGUCGCCUCACGCAGAGUUAACGCCUUGUGGAUCAUCUGUUUUAAGGCGUUGGUUUUUUAUUAAAGUGACCCUUAAUCAGAACGUUUAAACCAACCAGUCACUGUGAUCCGUGUGCUAAAGGUGCAUUCAGGUGUCCCCUUUCUGUUUCCAGUUUUAACCGUCACUGUGUAUUUCCUGGAUCUAAUUUAAGACCAUAUUUGUUCCUAUUUUGAACGACACACUGUUAUUGGCGAACAGAACUCUAUCUAUGGCCUUAUUCAGAAAAUUCAUUUAUUUUUUUCAUAUACAAGAUUAUUCUUUCUUCUUUUUUUUUUUUAUUUGACUUUAAUGUACGUCUCUGCUGUUUUGGGCAAAUGUUUGUAUUGUUAUGUAAAUAUUUUUAAUGUGUUCUGAAAAUAAACGACAUUGGAGCUAUUUUGGUCGAGCG